rnacentral:sRNA from 1 species
UAUUCUGCCCCACGGGGAAGGAUGAGAAGCUUCGACUAAGGUUCGACUCGAGCGAAGCGAGAGAACGUUGCCGCAGGCAACGGCCC